rnacentral:rRNA from 1 species
UACGGAGGGUGCAAACGUUGCUCGGAAUCAUUGGGCGUAAAGCGCACGUAGGUGGCCUGUUAAGUCGGGUGUGAAAUCCCUGGGGCUCAACCCAGGAAGUGCACUCGAAACUGGCAGGCUUGAGUACUGAAGAGGGUCGCGGAAUUCCCGGUGUAGAGGUGAAAUUCGUAGAUAUCGGGAGGAACACCAGUGGCGAAGGCGGCGACCUGGGCAGAUACUGACACUGAGGUGCGAAAGCGUGGGGAGCAAACAGG